CAUAAACCAUAUUUUAUUAAUGAUAUUUUUUUACAGUGACAGUUCACUUUGUGCCCAGGCAAAGGUAUUUUGGAGUAAGAGGAAGAUUAGCUGUUUUGCAUUAAUUAUCAGAGGGAACUACACAGUUUUUUCUCCACAUCUAUGCAGGGAGCAGCAUCCAAGGAAUAUUUGGAUCCCCUUGUUCCAAUGUCAGGCAAAUCUCUUCUAAUGAAAAGUUUAAAAUAGUUAAAUAAGAUGGAUCAGGAUUUUUCAGUCAUUAGAGUAGUUCUUAAUACAUGACACAUCAUUUUUUCCCCAGAAUACUAUAGUGAUGUGAGUAUCCUGGUAAAGACUAAGGGUGAAAUAAUUAAAAAUGGCUGAGUGACCUUGAAAGUCAUGUCUUUCUGAGCAUCAGUAGGGGCUGUGCACAUUAAUUAGUGUUUUUCAAACACUACUCUUAACAUUUACCAAAGCAGCAAAACUUUCCCUCAGUCAGUCAAGGGCAGGACUGGCUAGCCUGUGACUGUUGGCAUAUUUGUCUUUAUCAUGAUUUUCUUAAUAUAUGGUUUAAUUUGCAAAAAUACAUUUAAUAUUUUGUUAAGGAAAGCUCCUUUGAAAAUAUUUGUUUAUUACAGCUCCAUUUGAAAACGUGCCUACGAAUAACAGAUUCAAUUGCUAGUACUACAGAGUAGCUACUUCUUAUCAAUGACAGAAAUGUGAGAAAAAGGACACAAAAAAUAUGAUUUAUUAGACAGGACAUUAGUUCAAAGGUUGUAAAUGCAACUAGUUAAAUUUUAUCAAUCUUGAUCAUAACCAAAUGUUAAUUGUAAUAUGACAUUGAAAAAAAUCUUUGUUUUCACUGUAUUUAAUAAAAAAGUCCUGCAAAGAAGAAAUUGGUUAAGGUUUACAGUUAAGCACAUCUUAUUAAUAAAAGAAGAGUGAAAUGUCUGACAAAUGUCAAUAUAUAGCAAAUAGAAAAUUUUUACAGCAGUAUCUAUUUUAUUGCUAAGUUAUUUCAGAAGUCUCAUAGUCAGGAACACUGGAGACUAGACUAGAUAAGACACUGAGGUAACAAAAGGCAAAACAAUCUUGUGGUAAUAAAAAAAGGGAAAAGGAUUAAUGUUUUCCAUUGUCUUUAGUGGUUUUAUGCUUGGCCUGUAAGUUAUUGCAGUCAAAAGAUGGAAAAAAUGCCUUGUUGAUAUUUGGUUGGGUCUUUCAAUAUUAUUUUAUUAAAUUAUGGUGUGAUUACAUUUCUGUGAGUGUUAAAGUAAAUAAUUUUAGAUAAGGAGCUUUAAUAUAUUUGUUCUUUACCUACUCAAAGGUUGAUCAUACUGUAUUUGUUGACUCUGAAGACAAAUAACCUUGUCAAGGGAUGCCUAAUUGCCGACCAAUACCAUAUGUGCUUGCAGAGAUUGAAAUAUGCACUUGUGUUCAUAAAGGUAACUCAAGCCAGAGUCAACUCUCCACACAGAGCCAAAUUUUGAUUCUCUGGUAGAAUUUGCCUGCCUCUAGGGGCUUAGAUUACUGCUUGGAUAAAGUGCACUGAUUCAGUUCCACCAGAUGAAAUAGAAAUUCCAGCUGUGAAGGACUCCUGCAAUUCAACAGUUUCCCAACGCAGCUGACUCUGAGCACGAGCUUAGACACUUUCCCCAUACAGGGCUCAAGCUUUUAGCAGCCACUGAUUCUGCUUCAAGUAGAGGUAAAGAAAAGAAUGAUGGUUUUUUGCUUCUAUCAUACAGAAGGUGUUGGGAAGAUGGUCUAUAACCAGAGGAUUGUGUUGCAAUGCUUAGCAUGAGUUAAGGCAUCCAGGACAGAUAUAACUUGCUUACAGAUUUACUUUAGGUUUGGACAUUACUUUAUGCUGCUUCUUUUGAUCAUCCCUGGAUUUCAACAUGUUUUCACUAGAAACCCAAGUUGGAGAGGAAUAGGUAACAUUGUGUGAGUAAAAGCGUUUUCAGUAAAUAUUUUCGAAGCAUAGUAAGAUAAUUUUUAAUUACGCAUUCCUCUACAUUGCAAGAGUUCCAGCACAAAGCUGGUCCAAAGACCAGCUAGAUGCAAAUGACAUUUUCUCAUUUCAUUAUCUAAGCUAGCUAAUAAUUUCCUGAAGAUUUUAAAUGGGCAACAGUCGAGUCAUGACCUUUCUUAAGCUCAUGGAGGUAAGGAGCAGUUACAUUGGGACUGCGUGAAAACAAGCAGCUAUAUUUGUUUUGCAGUCUUCCUGAUCUGAAUUUGUGAAAUUGAGUUCUUGACUUGGAUGAAGCGCUGCAGAAGGGACUUUGAAAGCACACUGACAAAGAGGUGGAGAGCUGCAGUCUGUUCCCACAAAAUCAGCAAUAAAACUGACUUCAAUAAGCGCAGGGUGAGGUGGGGAAUGACUCUAUGCAGCGGCAUCCCACUGGUUGCAGUGACCUGUUUCAGUGGGCUUGAAAGCCAAUUUUCGAGGAAGACAGACUCCAUCCUGCUUUGCCAUCAAACUGAGGUCACACAGAGCCUGUGCAGGCUACAGGAUCAGACACUGAGAACAUCUAAAUUUUUUUGUAGGCUGAUCACAUUUUUCAAGUGAAAACAUUGAGGCACUUUGAAAAUGAAUUGCAUAUAAGCAAUUUAAAUAAAUUAGGAUCUGUAGCUUACUGGUAUCGCAGUAUUUUUUAAUGUAAUUAAUAGCAUAUCAAAUGGAUUGCUCUUCUAAGAUAGGUGAAUUAUCACAGAGAUGGCUGUUAUCUACUACAAAUACUUUUUUGUUAUGUGCUAGGUUUAUGAAGGUCAGCCAUGCUGUGAUGUGAGUGACUGUUGAAAAUAUUAGAGAUUUCUAACCUGUACUGUUCCUGUUAUUAUUGUAAGAAUUGUAUAAAUUGUAAUAAAUGGUAAUACAUACUCAACCUUUCACUUAGUUUUGAUGGUGUGUCCCCUACACUGAUACAGCAACUGGAACACGUGGCAAACCAGAAAAGUGAAUUUUUUCUGUUCACUGAAGAUACAGGGUGAAAUGACUGAGAGGUUAAAUCCCAGUUUGAGUUGCAAGUCAAGUGAAACAACGAAAAAUUUCACUUUGAUGAGUCAGAUCUAAGAAUGUUGCUGUAAUGAAGGAUAAUUAUGAUGACAGAAAUUAAGGAUAGAAUUACGAUAAUUGAAAACUGUUGCGGCAGAUAUUAAAAGACCCUGGAGUUCUGGGGCUGUUAAACAUUACCAUUAAAAUCCUGGUAAUUAAAAAUACUUGACAAAGGAUGGGUGAAUAUUUAGCAAAACAAAAGCUUAACUAUUAGUUUCUGAUAAUCCUGUUAAAUUACACACUGUAUUUAUUACAUGUUUGAGUCUUCUGUGACUGAGACUGCUUGAUGUCAUAGGUGGUUUCCAGCAUCUAAACCUUCCAUCUUAAAUCUUUGGAAAUAGGUUUAACUACAAAAAAAAAAAAAAAAAAAACCAGAGAGAAGAAAAUACCAGGAAAGCUCUUGUGCUUCAGCCCAUUGCUCUAAUCAAGCACAGACACGAUAAGAUAUAUGAAGGUCUAAUUCCCAUGAAAGUUUGUUUGUGACCCUGUUCUUUGCAUUGUAUGACUGAAAUGUCUCAGUUCCUGCACAGCUGCCUAAAGUUCAUUUCAGGCUGAGUUUGUGGCUGUAUGGUGUGCAUUAUUCCACUCUCUUUUGUGCAUUUUUGGGGUACUUUUUCUCUAAGGGAACUGCUUAUAUUUUCUAUUUUGAGAGAUCUUCUUAGUUUAGCUAUCCUUGGGUUACAGAAAAAGCUGCUUCUGAUCGUCUGUGUAGAGAUCAAGGGCAGGAAAAGGGCAUCCAAAAGACCAAGGACGUGUAAGAUUCAAAUCUCCCAUCCAAAGGCAGAAACACCACCAAAUUUUUGAUGUGGUUUACUACUCUUUUGUGGGAUCCUACUCCAUGACAGCCAAACAGCCAGGAGAUGAGGUGCUGUUUGCAGAUGCGGCCAGAAGAAAGAAAAGGACACAAUAGAGGCUGCAGAAAAGAGAUGGAAGAGAUUCAACAAAUAUAACGAAAUAUCUGCUCAGAAGGGGCAGAAACAAAGAAAAAUUAAAUGUUACAAGAGCUGAAAAAGAAAGGGACAGCUUUUUGCUGGUAAAGAGCAUGAGUAAUUAGGUUAUCCUACAUAAUCUGUGGAGAAGACUGGAAAUCCCAGAAGGAGAUAAUGACACUACCAGAUCAUGGCUGGAAUGCAGCUUGUAGGAGAUUGAAAUUUCUGGAAACUCUUUCAAAGAAAUAUUUCUUCCUGCUUAUGAGAAGAGGAUCUUCCUCCUGUCACAAGAAUUUUCAUCAAGACAAUUGUAAGAAUGUUUAAUUUAAUAUACCAUAGAAUUAUUUGGGUUGGAAAGGACCCUAAAGCUCAUCUCAUUCCAAUGCCCCUGCCAUGGGCAGGGACACCUUCCACUGCACAAGGUUGCUCAAAACCACAUCUGACCUGGCCUUGAACACUUCCAGGGAUGGGGCAGCCACAGCUUCUCUGGGCAAUCUGUGCCAGUUCCUUCACCACCCUUCACAGUAAAGAGUUUUUUCCUAAUAUCUGAUCUAACUCUGCCCUCUGUCAUUUUUAAGCCAGUCCCCCUUGUCCUAUCACUACACACCCUUGAAAAAAAUCCCUCUCCAGCCUCCUUGUAAGUCCCCUUUAGGUACUGGAAGGCUGAUAUCUAUCAGUAACAUUUAUUUCUACACGAAGGAAUAUCAGGAUGCUGCAGAAAAUAACCUGUAAGUGCAGUUCUGUGAGCUGUGAAAUCCUGAAACAACUUUCCCAUAGUUGUUCCAUGCAGCCUGGCUGCUUCCCAGGGAGUGCAGAGCAAAGUAGUUGAAAUAACACCACCAUCUGCUGGGCACCUGGUGAAUUCAGGGAAUGGAGAGCUCGUUCAGAGAUGGAAAUGUGUGUGACUCCCAGCCACUGCUUCUCUGGUACAUGCUAGAAUAUGCUUGGUAAGCCCUCAUCAUGUAAUUCUUCAUUAUUUCUAUUAUUAUUUCUGACUGAUGCUUUUCCAGGCUGCUUUCUAUGUAAGACAUAGCUAAACAGAUACAUAAUAAAGAAUAAAAAAUAUCUGCCUUGCAUGGCAUAAGGAAGGAAAUGGGGAACAUUUUUCAUAGUAUUUCUGUGUGGGGAGCAGCACCAGUAGAGCAGUUGUGCCCUGUAAAAGAUAUAUUAAUUUAAUUCCCAUUAGGACUGAUAUUAUUUGCUCUUACAGAUCUGUUGCUAGGUCUCAUGCAGCUGCACCCAUCAAGCCUGAAAAGAAGAAACCUAGAAAUAGCAACAUCCAUGGACAAGCUGAGGUGCAUACCACAGCCAGAUGUGGAGAUCAGUAUGUCAUAAAGACCCAGAAACGAUUCUUGCAGCAAGUAUAAGUGCUGCAGGAUUUCUUGCUGUUGGAUGUGUUAGACUUACUGUAGCCUCCAUCCGAGCUUAUUUCUGGUACAAAUGUUUUCCAGUGAUGAUUAGAGGUAUCUGUGACACACAGGUGGUAUUCUGCAAAAAAAAGAGCUGGAAAGCCACAAGCCUACGAGCUCAGCUGACAUGGGUAAGGCACAUCAUCUUCUAUAGCCUGAGGCACAAACAAGGAUGAUGUGGCUGGUAUUGCAUGAAGCAUUUCCCCUGCCCUGCCAAAUGACCAAAGACCUGCUAACAGUUGGAUCAGUAGAGAAAUGGCUUUCACGGGAGCCAAAAAAAAAAGGCUAAAAUGUGUCUGUUAAUGUAGUGAGACAAUCUGCUGGGGUCCCUGAAACGAAGAUGAGUGACAGUCCUCGUGUGAAAAGACAGUUGAGAUUUUCUCCUCCUGCAGAGGAAAAAUUGCUGGAGUUAUGUGAGACCUGCCCCCACUCCAACAGCACUUCGAGUUUUUACAAACUUAUAAAAGCUGUUAACACCCCCUGCUAUUUCAGACCCCCAUAGGGGUAAAGAAAAAUAGGAUGAAGUCGUUCAACCUCCUCACUCUCCUGCUCGGUGUUCCUGAAAUUUAAAGCGCUUUCCUUUUCAGGGAGAGAUGCCCAGAGGAGACACAAUUGCUACCUGAGCUGCAAAGGUUUGCCUGGAGGCAGGACAGUGUAACACUGCAGGGUGAGGAUCCUGAGGCUGGAUGAAGAACUUGGUCAUUCUAUUACAGGAUAUGUGGAGAUGGGGGAAUAUUCCUUACUGCAAAGCUGAGGAUAAGCAGAAGCUUAGAACAAGGCCUAUAGUGGUAUGGGCAUGGGUGUGGCACAGCAUCCCUGCUGUGAGCCCUGCCAGGGCUCCCUCCUGUAAAAAUCCCUGCAACAAAAUGCUCACUGGGGAUAUUUAAGUUUGGGGUUUGUUGUUUUGUUUUUUGGUUUGUUGUUUGUUGUUUUUUUUUCCCUGUGUGGCUUUUAGAUUAGAUUCUGUUUUGUGCUAAUGUAUAUUUUUACAGCUGAAUGGUGGUAAAUCCCUAGCCUCAAAAAUCU